CGGGGUUGCGGGACCGGGUGGGUGCCGCUUUGUCCUGUCCGUGCACCUCGGUGUCAGUGCUGCAAGGCUUUUCUGUCUGAUGGCCCUGAACGCCCCACUGAAAGGCCUGUGCUGGCCAUGGCAGGAUAACUGCAACAGACUCAGGAAGGACAAAUACAGCCCAGUCUGUGCAGGGGCAAGGGAAGUGGAACGGCCGCAGAACCCCAUGACAUCAGCACCUGGUGGCUCAGCACGUUCUCACCUCUCCUUCUCCCUGUGAAUCUCCAUCCAAGCACAUGCCUCACAGCUUGUCAUCACCCAGGAGUAAGAGAACCACAGCUAAGCAGAAGUAGGAUUACCUACAGAGACCUGAGGCAGCAUAGACAACAACUACAGUGAGGGGAAGCACUUCAACACAAUGAAUUGCGUGAAGGCAGAGCAAGCAGGAACUCAGAAGAUGCACCCAGACUGCGUGGGGCUGAAGACCUUUCAGUUGAGGAGAGUUCCGUAUCAACCAGUCAAGAUGGCAAAGCUGAUGGCAUCAGGUCUUAUCAUUCAAGUUUCCUCACCAGGGAAGUCCAAGUGCCAGGCCACGCACUUCUCAUUUUCAGGAACUGGUUUGUUCGCUUAUCCUCCUUUCCUAUCCACAAGCAUGUCCGAUCAAGGAAACAGUUCACGUUAGCACCUGAACAAGGAUAAUCUCUGAAGUUUAUGGCCAUUAUAUCCAUCGUCAGCAGUAAAGAAGUAAAGGAGAAAACAAACAAACAAGUGAACAUAAACCAGACAGUAAUAAUGUACACAUCUUCAACUUGAACUAGGGCUGCAAUUUUUUGACUGAAAAAGUGGCUCGAAAUCAUAAUUUCAAAUAACUGAAAGUAGUACUCAUUGCAAGAAACAUGGCAAUAACACCGUGCCUCUAAAUUUCAGCAACUACAGCUACUACUCAAAAAGCAUGGGUAGGACAUCGUGUUGAGUUGCUUUGGUGUUUAUCCAGCUAGGAGUAUGCCAUUAAAAUCAAGUGACAGUUUCAUAAGCCUAAAGCCUUUCUAGGUUCACAAGUUCCCUGAUUCACUUCUCAAUAAAAUUACAGCUGAACAAUGCAUUCCCAUUCAGAAGUCAAGUUCAAUUACAUGGCGGCUCAUUGGUGUUGGUAAUUGAAAGCAACUCACCAAUAACCAACACCACUCCAAAAGAGCUAAAAGUGUCUUUGUCACUAAGCACACCCAAUAAUGAUUGAUUUUCAGUGAGAUAAUAUACCUGAAACUAUGCAUACUUCAGGCUAAGAAAAACUUUACCAGUUCUUUUGGACUCACACAUGCUUUAUGACCCCCACCUUGUGCAGACAGCAGGAAAAAUGUGAGAAACAACAAAAAACUAAUUGUUAGGAGUCACAAUCAACUGAACAAUAGUCCAAUAAAUUACUUGUUGGUACUUGCCUAACACGUUAGAUGUAAUAGGACUUAUAUUUUAACAGCAAAAUGAAAUCAGGAGAAUGAUUGAUACUCUUUCAGAAAAAAAUCGCUGUUCACACAAUACUAAGUUAUUUUUGUCAUCAGCAUCUCUGCUGCCUUUCAUUAACACCUACUGUUUUUUCAGCACAUGUAAACACGUAAUAUGCAGUGGUAGAUAAAAAUGCAUACUAAGAGCCAUUCCUCAUUGCAUACAUAACAGAUAUGACAGUAUAAUAUUUAAACACUUAUUCCCAUUAACCAAAAAAAGAUCCAGAUCCAGAACUGGAACAGAUUCAGAUCCAGCUAUUCAUGAAUUAGGCAAUACUAAUCAAUAUUGGUCAUACUGCUGUCUUUCUUUAAAUUGGAAACUUUACAAUAGCAAUAUCUUCACAGUUCGGCUGACAGCUGCUCUGUGUAACCAAUGAGAACCAGAGGAGGCACUCUUCUGUGUGUAGGAAAGGCAACAAACAUGGUUGCUUUGCAGUGAAGUGCAAAAAUAUUAAGAAAAUGUUAAGAAAUGCAUAAAUCUAAUUAUAAUUCUAUACAUUAAAAGAAUGUCUUCUGACUAAAAACCCAAGCUAAUGAAAUGCCAUGAUAUGCUGACUGGGAAGGGCAUGGAAUUGCUUUAGGGAAAAAAAAAAUUUAAAAAGCAAAAAUAAAGUUUAAGAAAAAAACCACAGAAAGUCAAUGCAUGCACAGGAGUCAGUAAUAAUACUCCAGCAGGUACAGAAAUCAUUGAGAACUGGUCCAAAUACUGCAAAAGCAGUUAACUUUGGAAUGGAAGAACAAAGUUGUGCUGAGACUUUGAUGGGAAGGCUCUCACACUCUUUCUUGCUAGCUGCUACCAAAUAGUCUCUUCUCCUCAAAAUGCCUUGCACCUAUUCCCAAGGUAGUCUUUGAAGAACCUCGAAUUCUGACACAUUAACAUGAGCCCAUUCAUUGCGUCUACACCAUUUUUCUGGUCUGUCAUUCAGCUCAUGAGCUCUUUGAGCCUGGAUGGGAGCCCACCCCAGAGCUUGCAAGAGUGGGGCAGAGCUCUGUUGUUUGCCUCAGCCCGGUCAAAAAGUCCUGGGAAUUCCCAGGCAAUGUGCUGGAUAAUUGCUUAUCUGGGAGGGUGAUAGGUCCUUACCUGAUAUCCUUAAUAUAAGGAAUAUGGAAUCCACCUGUUGGAAAAUAAAGCAAAUUAAUCGCAGAACUUCACCCACAAAGAAUUGCUGGUUCCCAGAUCCGCAGGGCCAGAAGCAGAUUGCAUAAAUCCUGUCAAGUUUCAAAAGCAGAAUCGACAGCUUUUCAUUCACAAACACCAUACAAACUACCUCUGGUGUCCUUGAGAGAGAAGAUGAAAUGUAAUGUUAAAGU